UGGGGUUUGUAGCUCAGUGGUAGAGCACUUGUCUAGCAAAUGUGGGGCACUGGGUUCAAUCCUCAGAACCACAU
rnacentral:tRNA from 1 species